AAAUUGAAGAGUUUGAUCAUGGCUCAGAUUGAACGCUGGCGGCAGGCCUAACACAUGCAAGUCGAACGGUAACAGGAAGCAGCUUGCUGCUUUGCUGACGAGUGGCGGACGGGUGAGUAAUGUCUGGGAAACUGCCUGAUGGAGGGGGAUAACUACUGGAAACGGUGGCUAAUACCGCAUAACGUCGCAAGACCAAAGAGGGGGACCUUCGGGCCUCUUGCCAUCAGAUGUGCCCAGAUGGGAUUAGCU
rnacentral:rRNA from 83 species